GAUGAAGAACGUAGCGAAAUGCGAUAAGUAGUGUGAAUUGCAGAAUUCAGUGAAUCAUCGAAUCUUUGAACGCACAUUGCGCCCCUUGGUAUUCCAUGGGGCAUGCCUGUUCGAGCGUCAUUUGUACCUUCAAGCUUUGCUUGGUGUUGGGUGUUUGUCUCGCCUUUGCGUGUAGACUCGCCUUAAAAUAAUUGGCAGCCGGCGUAUUGAUUUCGGAGCGCAGUACAUCUCGCGCUUUGCACUCAUAACUACAGCGUCCAAAAGUACAUUUUACACUCUUGACCUCGGAUCAGGUAGGGAUACCCGCUGAACUUAAGCAUAUCAAUAAGCGGAGGA
rnacentral:misc_RNA from 1 species